rnacentral:rRNA from 1 species
UACGUAGGUCCCGAGCGUUAUCCGGAUUUAUUGGGCGUAAAGCGAGCGCAGGCGGUUGGAUAAGUCUGAAGUUAAAGGCUGUGGCUUAACCAUAGUAUGCUUUGGAAACUGUUCAACUUGAGUGCAGAAGGGGAGAGUGGAAUUCCAUGUGUAGCGGUGGAAUGCGUGGAUAUAUGGAGGAACACCGGUGGCGAAAGCGGCUCUCUGGUCUGUAACUGACGCUGAGGCUCGAAAGCGUGGGUAGCGAACAGG